ensembl:rRNA 5S_rRNA 5S ribosomal RNA
UCUUGCAGCCGUACCACCCUGAAUGCACCAGAUCUCAUUUGAUCUCAGAAGCUAAGCAGGGUCGGGCCUGGUUAGUGCUUGAAUGGGAAACCGCGUGGGAAUACCAGAUGCUGUAGGCU